GUGUCGGAUUCUAAGGUUCCUGAUAUUCAAGCAGGAUAUGAAAAGAUGUCGAAUAUUUUACUAGCAGCUUUAUCUGGUGCUAAUUAUAUUCAUGAUGCAG
rfam:Selenihalanaerobacter shriftii strain ATCC BAA-73 genome assembly, contig: EI55DRAFT_scaffold00009.9